ensembl:lncRNA
CCUGGGUUCACCCACAAGUCUAUUUCUAUUAUCUGUUGUUUUGUUUUUUUGCCAUUUUUGGUCUUGUGUCCUGGCAUGCCCGUUAAUUUUUUAUUGUAAGCUGGACAUUUUGGGUGAGUAAGACUGAAGUCUCCGGAAGGUAUCACCUUCCUUACAGCAUUCUGGAUCUUUGUCAAUCUGAGAGUAUAAAUUGGAAUCAAGCGAGUGUAGAUUAAAUUUGUAUUGCUUUCCCUCCGAGGCUGAGCGUUUUCCAUCAGGCUGUGGUUCAGUCGCUCAGUAUUUUCCGACUCUUUUCCACUGCAUGGACUGCAGCACGCCAGGCUUCCCUGUCCUUCACUAUCUACCGGCAUUUGCUCAAACUCAUGUCCAUUGAGCUGGUGAUGCCCUUUCUCAUCCUCUGGUUAAGAGAAUCUUAUUUCCUUUGCCCUCCACCCACUCUCUGUCGGUUUGUUCAUCUGUGUUCCAGCUGUAGGGUAAUCUGCAUAUUAAGGAAUUUAAUCUUUGGUGCUGCAUAUGGCCAGCAGCAAACUUUCCCCUAGUUUUCCUCCUUGUUUGACCUUUGGAGUCAAACGUAUGACCUUUGGAGUCACUGCAGUCACCUAAUUGGACUUUUUAUUCCCCCAACCUAUCCCCAGCUGCGAGACUCCUGAGGCCCAGUCUCCCGCCUCGCACGGAGGGAAGCCCCAGUCUCCGCACCUGGCGCACCUGGACCCAGAUCCGCUCACGCCCCGGACGCUCUCCUCUCUAUUCCCUUCCUUCCUCCUCAGGCAACCAUAGCCCUCGAGGCCUGUGUGGGCAAAGCCCCCAUCCAACGUGGGUUUGCGCUGCCCGCGAGAUGGCCUCCCAGCGUCUACCGCUGGGCACCCGUCACGGGACACGGGAGGUUGCGGGCCUCUCACUGCGUCACCACCGAGCCCCCGGCUUGCACUCGAGAAACGCUCCUUGACUGAGUGGAUUGAAGCUUUUGUAUCCUAUUCAGGGCCUUUCCACUAAAAAGUUAGCUUUUAAAAGAAAUACCCUCACCCCAUCCUCUCGCGCCCCGCCCCGCGGGAGGCCGGCGC